AGACCCACAAGUGCGACCCAUAAGUGGGGACCCAUAAGUGGGGACCCAUAAGUGGGACCCAUAAGUGGGGGGCUGAGACCCACAAGUGGGACCCAUAAGUGGGGGGAACCCAUAAGUGGGGGGCUGAGACCCACAGGUGGGACCCAUAAGUGGAGGGGGACCCAUAAGUGGGGGGGGACCCAUAAGUGGGGGGCUGAGACCCACAAGUGCGACCCAUAAGUGGGGCGGGACCCAUAAGUGGGGGGCUGAGACCCACAAGUGGGGGGCUCAGACCCACAAGUGGGGCCCAUAAGUGGGGGGGGAACCCAUCAGUGGGACCCAUAAGUGACCAGCCAA
rnacentral:lncRNA from 7 species